CGCAUCGAUGAAGAACGCAGCGAAAUGCGAUAAGUAAUGUGAAUUGCAGAAUUCAGUGAAUCAUCGAAUCUUUGAACGCACCUUGCGCUCCUUGGUAUUCCGAGGAGCAUGCCUGUUUGAGUGUCAUUAAAUUCUCAACUUCAUCAGCUUUAUUAUGAAACUGUGUGGAGCUUGGAUGUGGGGGUUUGUGCAGAGCGCGUAAAAGCAACCUGCUCCCCUUAAAUAAAUUAGCGAGUUCAAACUGGGCUCCGUCUAUUGGUGUGAUAAUUAUCUACGCCGUGGAUUGGGCUUAGACUUGCUUCUAAUCGUCCGCAAGGACAAUCUUUUGACAAUUUGACCUCAAAUCAGGUAGGACUACCCGCUGAACUUAAGCAUAUCAAUAAGCGGAGGAAAAGAAACU
rnacentral:rRNA from 1 species